rnacentral:rRNA from 1 species
UACGUAGGGUGCAAGCGUUGUCCGGAAUUAUUGGGCGUAAAGAGCUUGUAGGCGGUUUGUCGCGUCUGCUGUGAAAUUUCGGGGCUCAACCCCGAACUUGCAGUGGGUACGGGCAGACUAGAGUGUGGUAGGCGAGUGGAACUCCUGGUGUAGCGGUGGAAUGCGCAGAUAUCAGGAAGAACACCAACGGCGAAGGCAGCUCGCUGGGACGGUACUGACGCUGAGACGCGAAAGCGUGGGGAGCGAACAGG